UACGUAGGGGGCAAGCGUUGUCCGGAAUCAUUGGGCGUAAAGAGCGUGUAGGCGGCUCGGUAAGUCCGUUCUGAAAGUCCAGGGCUCAACCCUGGGAUGCGGAUGGAUACUGCCGGGCUCGAGUCCGGAAGAGGCGAGUGGAAUUCCCGGUGUAGCGGUGAAAUGCGCAGAUAUCGGGAGGAACACCAAUGCGAAGGCAGCUCGCUGGGGACGUGACUGACGCUGAGACGCGAAAAC
rnacentral:rRNA from 1 species